rnacentral:rRNA from 1 species
UACGGGGGGGGCAAGCGGUUGUCCGGAAUUAUUGGGCGUAAAGAGCUCGUAGGUGGUUUGUUACGUCUGCUGUGAAAUCCUAGGGCUUAACCCUGGGCUUGCAGUGGAUACGGGCAGACUAGAGGUAGGUAGGGGAGAAUGGAAUUCCUGGUGUAGCGGUGAAAUGCGCAGAUAUCAGGAGGAACACCCGUGGCGAAAGCGGCUCUCUGGGACGGUACUGACGCUGAGACGCGAAAGCGUGGGAGCAAACAGG